CCUGAUAUUUCGACCAUUAGUGCACAGGCCCUGGAGCUACAACGCUCGGUGUCUAGUGCUAUUAUUGAGGCAAUGGGAUCCAUGUCCUCUAUGAUCUCACAAACCAUCUCCCAGGCCUUGUCUGCCCAUGCCCCUGGCCCCUCUACUCAGUUGCCUGUACUCACUAGCCCGCAGCCUACCAUUGUACCUCCUGCCCAGGAGACUUUGACUGGUGUGAUCCAAGCCACCCAUGAUAGCGCGCUUAGAUCGCGCAAAAGAGCCUUACCGCGCCAGGCAGAAAGGGCGCGAACGUGGAAAUGUGCUAGAGCACAAACUACUGAUAUAGAUUCGGAUAUUGAAUCUGAUAUGGAGGCUUAUGCGGAGGCAAGCGACCACUCUGAUGGGGAGAUGGAGAUGGAAUCUGAGUUUCCAGGUACCACUGG